GAUGAAGGCGGUUUGUGCAGGAGGUCACUCGCCAUCCUGCUGAAGCUGCUAUCGGAGCCUGGAGCUGCAGCUGAUGGACGCAGGCUGGAGCAGGAAGCACGGCUGGGGUUCGUUGGUCUAAGAGGACACCCAGGCAUGGGUGAGUUUUAUGAGAUCCCCUGGUGACUCUCAAGUGCAUCCUGGCUGGAGAACUGAUAUAAACCAAGGAAGGACAGAAUCCCACCUGAGCAGAAAGUGAGGAAUGAGAGCGUCUUGCAGGGGGUGGCCAUGUGGCAGAGCUGGUCAACAGAAUGCAAGGCAGAGUCCGCUGGCACGUGUUUCUGGGAAGCCUUUUUUUUCCUGUUAGAAGAGACGUAGAAGACCACCACCUCUUCCCCUUCUUGCCUUCAGUGGAGAUGUGGUGCCUGGAACACAUGCAGCUGUCUUGCAACCUUGAGGGUCGGGAAGAUUCCCCUGCAGGAGGAAAUGGCAACCCACCUCAGUAUUCUUGCCUGGAGAAUCCCAUGGACAGAGGAGCCUGGCAGGCUACAGUCCAUAGAGUCGCCAAGAGUCAGACACACCUGAAGUGACUUAACAGAUUAUGCAUAUAAGGGAUGCCAUAUGAUAUUUCUCCUUCUCUGUCUGAUGUACUUCACUCAGUAUGACAAUUUCUAGGAACGUCCAUGUUGCUGCAGAUGGCAUUAUUUCAUUCUUUUUGAUGGCUGAGUAAUGUUCCAUUGUAUAUAUAUACCACAUCUCUCUCCAUUUCUCUGUCGAUGGUCAACAGACAGAGUGCU
ensembl:lncRNA